CCAAAACUUAGCCCGAGUCUCUUGGGACCCCGUCCGAAUAUACCAACAAGUUCCAAAUGAUAAUACGGAACUACUCAAGUGCUCAAAUCAUACAUAAUAAUGUUAAAACCACGAAUCGUUAAUCAAGAUCAAUCUCUUAAGUUCACAAACUUCAAAACUUUGAACCAAACGUCCGAUUCAAGCCUAACGAAUCCCGAAUGAACCCAAAUUUUGCAUACAAGUUUCAGAUGACAUAUCAAAACUAUUCCAACUCCCGGAACAACAAUCCA
rnacentral:lncRNA from 1 species